CCUGCAGUGACCAGUCCUGGGGACACUAGGGCUGUGACCCUGCAGUGACCAGUCCUGGGGACACUGGAGUGACCAGUCCCUGGGGGACACUGGAGCUGUGACCCUGCACUGACCAGUCCUGGGGACACUGGGGCUGUGACCCUGCACUGACCAGUCCUGGGGUCACUGGAGUGACCAGUCCUGGGGACACUGGAGCUGUGACCCUGCACUGACCAGUCCCAGGGACACUGAGGCUGUGACCCUGCAGUGACCAGUCCUGGGGUCACUGGAGCGACCAGUCCUGGGGACACUGGAGCUGUGACCCUGCACUGACCAGUCCUGGGGACACUGGAGUGACCAGUCCUGGGGACAUUGGAGUGACCAGUCCUGGGGACACUGGGGCUGUGACCCUGCAGUGACCAGUCCUGGGGACACUGGAGUGACCCUGCACUGACCAGUCCUGGGGUCACUGGAGCUGUGACCCUGCACUGACCAGUCCUGGGGACACUGGAGCUGUGACCCUGCAGUGACCAGUCCUGGGGUCACUGGAGUGACCAGUCCUGGGGACACUGAGGCUGUGGCCCUGCACUGACCAGUCCUGGGGUCACUGGAGUGACCAGUCCUGGGGACACUGGAGCUGUGACCCUGCACUGACCAGUCCUGGGGUCACUGGGGCUGUGACCCUGCGGGUUUUGGGGGGCCCCACGGCGCCGUGGCAAUAAACUGGGGUGUGUCACCGCA